UUUUGCUCACUUGUCCCAAUCGUUGCCCACAAUCAAGGCGGGGCCUUAGGUUAGUCACCACUUUUACGUUCAAUUUCUCACAUAUUUGACGUCAUCACGUCACAAUGGAUUAAUAUAUGUGAUUGGUACAUGCACCAAUCAUUUUCAAAUUUGUACAACAAUUUGAUUUCCUUUAAUAACACAAGCCAUGCACCUCAAGUUGCUUUCCUUUUU